rnacentral:lncRNA from 1 species
CGAAACCGUUGAGCCUUACGCCGGCAUUGGGAUCGGCCACACAGAAAUCCUGGAGAUUGGAAGGAUCCAUGGCAAAGGUGAGACUUGCACAAACAGCAAAAGUUACCAAGGUGAAGAAAGCAGCAAGAUGUGCCAUUGGUUGAAUAACAGAGGGAGUAUGUAUGAACUUUCGGGUGUUAUAGUUUCAAGUGAGGGAUGCUAAGAUUGCGAUUGUAUGGUGUGGUGGGUUGUUGCAUUGGGAGUGAAGAUCAGGUUUAUAUAGGAAGCAAGUUGAGGAAAAGUCCAAAUCAAAGGGUUCAUUACAUUAGUUUAUUUGAUGACGACUCCAUGAGAGACGGUUUCAAAGGUCUUUGGGUUUUCCCAGCCAUUUACAAUAUGAAACGCGUUUUGUUUACCCAGUUCCAGCAAUAAUUUCCUUGACUGUGUCCAUUCAUUAGACGGUGUACAAAGUUACGUAAUAUAUUAAUUAGGAGCAACUAAAGGAGUUGGAUAGCCUGCCGCAAACAAGAACAACGCUGCUUAAAACGAACCCUUGAGUUUAUCAACCACCACUGCAAGAAAACGCCCCAUGGAUGAUAACAAUGACCUUCUCCAUCGCAAUGCAAAUGCAAAAGGUCACAAAUGAUAACAUGAUGAAUAGAUAGUUCCUAUUCUUUGAUCGGAAAAGACUUCGUUUUACUUUCUAGGCAAGAACAAUGGAAUCAUUUACUAAUAUGAACUUGCUUGCUUAUUUCUUAUUAACCAAAGCUUAAAUAUCAUAGCAGGAGAAUUAGCUCCCACGUUCCUAGCUUUGCGUCCCAUUAAAGGUGGAAGUUAGAUCCCUUAAAAAAUGCAACAGAAAAUCAAAUGGAAACACCAAUUCCAAAGCAAACAAUAUGAGUUGUGGCCGAAAAUGCUACUCUUCAGCGAAGCCAGGGUUAGGCAUUCGUGGUCGGACCGAACGACAUGGACUUGGAUCCACUAUUGCCUUAUCAUUACAUCGUUACUGUUGGACGUUUUCUAAAACGCCUUAGAUUGGAUUUCCCCUGCUCUUAUAGACUUUGGUGUUGGGUGGGAGUGAAGUCUUGUGGAAGCUUUUCGAGUAGUAACAGCAUGGCUAAAGGUUGCUUCGUCGCCUUCUGCUUUGGCCGCCACUUAGGUGUGAGCGAAGGAACAACUUAAACAUUUCGUCAGCGUUAACCAUUUCGAUUAUGGUGCUUCCGAGAGGCGAAUCACUUGCUGUGCUCCCUCUGUUUAGCAACAAGACCUUUAUCAUUGCUGCUAGCUCAACGUUUUUUCUUUUGUAGCUAAUCUAUAUAUGCUACUUUUUUAGCCAAGUCCUGACUUCCUCCCGCAACAUCGUGGGAGGAAGUCGCUCUUGGUGUUUUGUGUUGGAAGCAGACAUAGGUUUUAGAGUAGUUUUUGUGUGUGAUGGGCGCUUCAAUGUGAGAGCGCGCCUAUGCUCUUGCUCUACAUCCUCGAAUGCAUCCCAUUCAGUUACUUCUACAUGAUCAAAUGCGGGAGGUAGAUGAUGUGCAAUCCCGUCAGCACGAUAUGCCACAGGGUGUUUGUUGAACCGCUUCCGCAUACUCACCACAAUUAUAUUCUCGACCCCGAGGGGUGUUCUCAUUUGCAAGCUACUUAUAUUUUCUUCAAGCGCUUAGUUCCCUACGUGGCACAUAAACUUUUUCGCCAAGAGAAUACCUUGUGGACGGGAGAAUCGAGUUGAUUGUUGAGUGACUGCUCCAAGACGCAUUCAAGUCUUCUAGGCCUGAGCUGGUUAUGGGUCAAGGGGCCAUCAAGUGCAUAAUUAAACAGUGUGAUCAAUGAAAUUAUUCAUUGCUAUGGUGAAAAUGGCACACACAUUUACUUGUUGUUUUCUUAAAAUAUUAUGAAUCUUUUUCGUAUGUCUCCUUCACUAGACAGUCCAGAGAGGAAUUGAGAGCAUUAGAGGCCACAUUUCUUUAUAUUAGAUGAAUGUGAAAAUAAACAAUAAUGUCGAAACCUUGAAACAAAAAGCAUUAGAGGCCACAUCAUGGCCUUAGAUUAAAAGAAUUGAAAGAAGACAUCGACCCUACAUUGUCACAAUUGAUCUUAAUAUUGCUUGUUGUUAGAACUUGGUUUGGAGCUGCUUCACAACACGUUUGUCAACCUGGAAAGCCUUGGCAAGGAUGUCGCUAGAGAUAUCGGGCUUCGCUCCAAAGACAGAGUUGGCAAUAGUGAUGACUCCAGGGUUUUGGCUGCUCAACCCAGCGAUAGCUACCGCGUUUCCGUACCCAACAUUACGUUGGAAGUGAAUCAACCCAAUAGGGAAGACAAACACGUCCCCUUUAUGAAUGAUCUUAGAGAUGAGACGAUUCUCAGGGUUGGAUGUGACAAAUCCGACCUCAAGAGACCCUUCAAUAACCGUGAGAAUCUCGGUGGCACGAGGAUGCGUGUGGGGAGGGUUAAUACCCCAAGGAGCAUAGUCAAUGCGGACUAAUGAAAUCCCAAGAGUGUUCAACCCGGGAAUCUGGGUCACGGAAACAGGGGUGACCCUUGAGCCCACCGCAUUUGACGUGUUGCCGGGGAUGUGAAGUCCGCUAAACGAAAAAUCGCUAGCUUGGACCGUUGCAGGGUUCUUGCAUGGGAAACCGUUGAGCCUUACGCCGGCAUUGGGAUCGGCCACACAGAAAUCCUGGAGAUUGGAAGGAUCCAUGGCAAAGGUGAGACUUGCACAAACAGCAAAAGUUACCAAGGUGAAGAAAGCAGCAAGAUGUGCCAUUGGUUGAAUAACAGAGGGAGUAUGUAUGAACUUUCGGGUGUUAUAGUUUCAAGUGAGGGAUGCUAAGAUUGCGAUUGUAUGGUGUG